UGAGUGAACAAAGAAGCGGUGGGCACACGCCUCCCGCGUUUCCCUUCAUCGAAGAAGCAACCCCGGGUACAAGCUGUGAAGGCGGCGAGGGAGCCUCAGGCACUUGCGACGAUUACCUUGCGUAUAUUGACGAGUACAUCAAUGACGCGUUGAAGGCCUUGAACCGCCAGAUCGAUGCCACUGAUGUCAAUGAUGCCACUGACAGCGGAAGCACCAACUACGCACCUGUGGUGUCCACCGCUAGUGCCGAUCACGCCUGGCCCAGAACGAGCCACGCUGGGAUCGAGAAAAUAUCGCCUACUACGAAAGACAGCGCGAGGUGAGCCACCAUUUCGAAAUAUUUCUUGACAUAAAGCAACCCAGCCAUUGGGCGAACUGCGACGGCGACCGGGCCUCUCACU